rnacentral:rRNA from 1 species
UGGGGAAUUUUGCGCAAUGGGGGAAACCCUGACGCAGCAACGCCGCGUGAGUGAUGAAGGCCUUCGGGUCGUAAAGCUCUGUCAGUGGGAAAGAAAUGUACGAGGGCCAAUACCCCUUGUACUUGACGGUACCCACAAAGGAAGCACCGGCUAACUCCGUGCUAGCAGCCGCGGUAAUACGGAGGGUGCGAGCGUUGUUCGGAAUUAUUGGGCGUAAAGCGCGUGUAGGCGGCUCCUUAAGUCUGAUGUGAAAGCCCCGGGCUCAACCUGGGAAGUGCAUUGGAAACUGGGGAACUUGAAUACGGGAGAGGGUAGUGGAAUUCCUGGUGUGGGAGUGAAAUCCGUAGAUAUCAGGAGGAACACCGGUGGCGAAGGCGGCUGCCUGGACCGAUAUUGACGCUGAGACGCGAAAGCGUGGGGAGCAAACAG